UUGGACAUCUCCCCCAAGUUGACUAAUUUCGCAAUCAAUGGUCUUAAGGGGCUUGAGCAGCUCUGCAUUUCGAUUUCAGAGGGGGAUCCCACAUCUCUUCAUAAAUUGGAAAUCAAUGGGUGCUCUGAUCUUGUUGCAUCAUAUCUAAGGGAUUCCUUGGUUCGGGCCGAAGAAGCAAUGUCACUCGAUCAUUAUCAAACUGACUGCAAUCUUUUUCUGUCCGUGAGGAUCCCACCAGAGCGCCUUCUACUUCUAAUAGGCCGUGAACUAGAUCAGAAUCAUUCUCAACGAGUCCAUAAGAAGUGAUCCCAUUUUUUUCAUCGGGUCCGGGUAGAGACCAAAGGUCUUGAGCGACCGAUCCAGCAGAACACAUCCAACUGCCUGCUCUCGACUCGAUGUCCCAUUUGAUUCACAAUUGUUCCAAGCUCAGAUUGUUGGGGCAUACCCAUUCAUCUCUGCAGAAGCUGAGUUUAGGGGAUUGUCAAGAAUUGUUGUUUCACAGAGAGGGCUUGCCUUCCAACCUACGUGAACUUCAAAUCUGUCGCUGCAACCAACUCACGUCCCAAGUGGACUGGGAUUUGCAAAGACUGAGCUCUCUUACUCAUUUCACAAUCUUUGGUGGAUGUGAAGACGUGGAAUUAUUUCCCAAGGAGUGUCUGCUGCUCUCUUCUCUGACUUGUCUUUAUAUCUAUGGUCUUCCAAAUCUCAAGUCUCUUGACAACAAGGGGCUUCAACACCUUGUCUCUCUCAAAAAAUUACGAAUACAGGAUAGCCCAAGUCUUCAAUCCUUGACAAGAUCUGUUAUUCAACACCUUAUCUCUAAAAAAAUGCUUUGAUUUUUUUUCUCACUUUCUUUGACAUUUCUCUAAUACAGGCAUGGAGAAAACCGUGGAUGCAUUCUAGCUAGCUGCUUAUUGAAUUACUUAAACCUUCUACAUUGUUAAGGUAUUGACCUCCUUUCAGAAUUCAAAGGCUCCUAAAAUGCUCAACACUCUUUAGGAUUUGGGCUGGUCCAGUUGUUGAAGAUUUGGGCAAGCAACAAACUCUUAUCUGUUUGAUUUGAGAAGUUCUUCAACAAAGGAAAAUUCAUCCCAGUAACCAGAAUCAGCAUGGAAGACUGCUUAUGAGGAACAAAGUUCGGUUAUGAUAAUAGCAACCUACAUUGAUUGGGAGUCUUAACAAAAGCUGGUCUAUUGUGUGCUAAGUGGCCCACUUUUUUAAAGCCUCAAUUUCAGCAUCUCUUCACACCUCAGCAGCCUUCUUAACACAAUCAGACCUAGAUACUUACCUACACAUGGGGAGAGACUUAAGGAGUUACUAUU